rnacentral:misc_RNA from 1 species
UUUCCGUAGGUGAACCUGCGGAAGGAUCAUUAAAAAUGAAGCCGGGAAACCGGUCCUUCUCACCCUUGAUUACCUCAAUUUGUUGCUUUGGUGGGCCGCGCAAGCACCGGCUUCGGCUGGAUCGUGCCCGCCAGAGGACCACAACUCUGUAUUAUAUGUCGUCUGAGUACUAUAAAAUAGUUAAAACUUUCAACAACGGAUCUCUUGGUUCUG